AGAUAUCACAACAGAACACCAGAUUGCGUAGGCGGCUCACUAAGCUGCUCCUGACGCUGAGGCACGAAAAGCAUGGGGAGCGAACAGAAUUAGAUACCCUGGUAGUCCACGCUGUAAACGAAUGGAUCACUCGCGUUCGAGGAUACACUGCCAGCGGUUCAGCGAAAUGCAGCAUGUGAUCUACCUCGGGAGUAGGACCGCAAGGUGGCUACUCAUCAGAAUUGACGGGGGGGGGCACAAGCAGUAGAACAUGUGGUUUAUUUCAUUUGAUACGCGAGGAACCUUACCUGGGCUUAAAUGCAGAACGACGUACCGUGAAAACUAAUAUUCCCUUCGGGGCGGACUGCAAGGUGCAGCAUGGUUGUCGUCAGCUCGUGCUCGUGAGGUGUCGGGUUAAGUCCCAUAACGAGCGCAACCCUCAUCGUUAGUUGCCAGCGAAUAAUGUCGGGGACUCUCCCGAAACAACCGGGGUGAACCGUGAGGAAGGUGGGGAUGACGUCAAAUCAGCACGGCCGUGAUGUCCACGGCUACCCAUGGGCUGCAAAAUGCAGUACCGAGGGCAGGUGCCAGGCGAAUGGAUGCAAAUCUCCAACAGUGGUGUUAGUUGGGAUCAAAGUGCGCACCUGGACUUCGAGAAGCUGGAAUCCCUAGUUCUCCCGCAUCACGCAGAACGCGUUGACGGCGUUCCCACACCCCGCCCGCCCCGUCCGGCAAGCCAGUGACGCCUGGGGUAGGUGAACUCACCGCAAGGAAGCAUCCGCCUAAGGAAGACAAGUGACUGGGACGAAGUCGUAACAAG
rnacentral:rRNA from 1 species